GAAAUGCGAUAAGUAAUGUGAAUUGCAGAAUUCAGUGAAUCAUCGAAUCUUUGAACGCAGCUUGCGCUCCUUGGUAUUCCUUGGAGCAUGCCUGUUUGAGUAUCAUGAAAUCUUCAAAGUUAAUCUUUUGUUAACUCAAUUGGUUUCUACUUUGGUAUUGGAGGUCUUUGCAGCUUCACACCUGCUCCUCUUUGUUCAUUAGCUGGAUCUCAGUGUUAUGCUUGGUUCCACUCGGCGUGAUAAGUUAUCUAUCGCUGAGGACACUGUAAAAGGUGGCCAAGGUAAAUGCAGAUGAACCGCUUCUAAUAGUCCAUUGACUUGGACAAUACUUUUAUGAUCUGAUCUCAAAUCAGGUAGGACUACCCGCUGAACUUAAGC
rnacentral:misc_RNA from 1 species